GAUGAACGCUGGCGGCGUGCCUAAUACAUGCAAGUCGAGCGAACAGACGAGGAGCUUGCUCCUCUGACGGUAGCGGCGGACGGGUGAGUAAAAUGUGGAUAACCUAACUUUAAGACUGGGAUAACUUAGGGAAACCGGUACUGAUACCGGAUCAUAUAUGCAACCGGAUGGUUCGAAAGCUUCAGCCGGUUUUGCUGUACCUGAUAGAUGGAACCGGGUUGCAUUGGCUGGUUGGUAAGGUAACUGCUUAGCAAGGCCACGAUGCGUUGCCGACCUGACAGGGUGAUCGGCCACACUGGAACUGAGAGACGAUCCAGACUCCUACGGGAGGCAGCAGUAGGGAAGCUUGCGCAAUGGGCGGAAGCCUGACGGAGCAACGCCGCGUGAGUGAUGAAGGUCUUCGGAUCGUAAAACUCUGUUAGUGGGGAAGAACAAAUGUAUAAGUAGCUAUGCACGUCUUGACGGUACCUGAUCAAGAAGCACCGGCUAACUACGUG
rnacentral:rRNA from 1 species